rnacentral:rRNA from 1 species
GGUUAAGCGAAUAAGCGUACACGGUGGAUGCCUAGGCAAUCAGAGGCGAUGAAGGACGUGCUAAUCUGCGAAAAGCGUCGGUAAGGUGAUAUGAACCGUUAUACCCGACGAUAUCCGAAUGGGGAAACCCAGUAUCCAAUGGAUACUAUCAUUAACUGAAUCCAUAGGUUAAUGAGGCGAACCGGGAGAACUGAAACAUCUCAGUACCCCGAGGAAAAGAAAUCAACCGAGAUUCCCCUAGUAGCGGCGAGCGAACGGGGAGCAGCCCAGAGUCUUAAUCAAUAGCAGUGUCAGGAGAACGGUCUGGAAAGUCCGGCAGUAAAGGGUGAUAGCCCCGUAUCUGAAGAUGCUGUUAUUGUGAACUCGACGAGUAGGGCGGGACACGUGUUAUCCUGUCUGAAUAUGGGGGGACCAUCCUCCAAGGCUAAAUACUCCUGAUUGACCGAUAGUGAACCAGUACCGUGAGGGAAAGGCGAAAAGAACCCCGGCGAGGGGAGUGAAAAAGAACCUGAAACCGUGUACGUACAAGCAGUAGGAGCCNNACUGCGUACCUUUUGUAUAAUGGGUCAGCGACUUAUAUUCUGUAGCNAGGUUAACCGUAUAGGGGAGCCGUAGGGAAACCGAGUCUUAANUGGGCGAAUGAGUUGCAGGGUAUAGACCCGAAACCCGGUGAUCUAUCCAUGGGCAGGUUGAAGGUUGGGUAACACUAACUGGAGGACCGAACCGACUAAUGUUGAAAAAUUAGCGGAUGACUUGUGGAUGGGGGUGAAAGGCCAAUCAAACCGGGAGAUAGCUGGUUCUCCCCGAAAGCUAUUUAGGUAGCGCCUCGUGAACUCAUCUUCGGGGGUAGAGCACUGUUUCGACUAGGGGGUCAUCCCGACUUACCAACUCGAUGCAAACUGCGAAUACCGAAGAAUGUUAUCACGGGAGACACACGGCGGGUGCUAACGUCCGUCGUGAAGAGGGAAACAACCCAGACCGCCAGCUAAGGUCCCAAAGUCAUGGUUAAGUGGGAAACGAAGUGGGAAGGCUCAGACAGCCAGGAUGUUGGCUUAGAAGCAGCCAUCAUUUAAAGAAAGCGUAAUAGCUCACUGGUCGAGUCGGCCCGCGCGGAAGAUGUAACGGGGCUAAACCAUGCACCGAAGCUGCGGCAGCGANNGUUGGGUAGGGGAGCGUUCUGUAAGCCUGCGAAGGUGUACUGUGAGGUAUGCUGGAGGUAUCAGAAGUGCGAAUGCUGACAUAAGUAACGAUAAUGCGGGUGAAAAACCCGCACGCCGGAAGACCAAGGGUUCCUGUCCAACGUUAAUCGGGGCAGGGUGAGUCGACCCCUAAGGCGAGGCUGAAAAGCGUAGUCGAUGGGAAACGGGUUAAUAUUCCCGUACUGGUGGUAACUGCGAUGGGGGAACGGAGAAGGCUAGGUUGUCCGGGCGACGGUCGUCCCGGUUCAAGCAGGUAGGCAGAGUGAUUAGGCAAAUCCGGUCACUUAAUGCUGAGAUGUGAUGACGAACCACUAAGGUGGUGAAGCAAUUGAUGCCCCGCUUCCAGGAAAAGCCUCUAAGCUUCAGGUUACCAACAAUCGUACCCCAAACCGACACAGGUGGUCAGGUAGAGAAUACUCAGGCGCUUGAGAGAACUCGGGUGAAGGAACUAGGCAAAAUGGUGCCGUAACUUCGGGAGAAGGCACGCUGGCGGUAGGUAAAGUCCCUCGCGGACGGCGCUGAAGCCAGUCGAAGAUACCAGCUGGCUGCAACUGUUUAUUAAAAACACAGCACUGUGCAAACACGAAAGUGGACGUAUACGGUGUGACGCCUGCCCGGUGCUGGAAGGUUAAUUGAUGGGGUCAGCCGUAAGGCGAAGCUCCUGAUCGAAGCCCCAGUAAACGGCGGCCGUAACUAUAACGGUCCUAAGGUAGCGAAAUUCCUUGUCGGGUAAGUUCCGACCUGCACGAAUGGCGUAAUGAUGGCCAGGCUGUCUCCACCCGAGACUCAGUGAAAUUGAACUCGCUGUGAAGAUGCAGUGUACCCGCGGCAAGACGGAAAGACCCCGUGAACCUUUACUAUAGCUUGACACUGAACAUUGAGCCUUGAUGUGUAGGAUAGGUGGGAGGCUUUGAAGUGUGGACGCCAGUCUGCAUGGAGCCAACCUUGAAAUACCACCCUUUAACGUUUGAUGUUCUAACCUAGGCCCAUAAACUGGGUCGGGGACCGUGUCUGGUGGGUAGUUUGACUGGGGCGGUCUCCUCCUAAAGAGUAACGGAGGAGCACGAAGGUUGGCUAAGCAUGGUCGGACAUCAUGCGGUUAGUGCAAAGGCAUAAGCCAGCUUGACUGCGAGAGUGACGGCUCGAGCAGGUACGAAAGUAGGUCUUAGUGAUCCGGUGGUUCUGAAUGGAAGGGCCAUCGCUCAACGGAUAAAAGGUACUCCGGGGAUAACAGGCUGAUACCGCCCAAGAGUUCAUAUCGACGGCGGUGUUUGGCACCUCGAUGUCGGCUCAUCACAUCCUGGGGCUGAAGUAGGUCCCAAGGGUAUGGCUGUUCGCCAUUUAAAGUGGUACGCGAGCUGGGUUUAGAACGUCGUGAGACAGUUCGGUCCCUAUCUGCCGUGGGCGUUGGAAGAUUGAGAGGGGUUGCUCCUAGUACGAGAGGACCGGAGUGAACGCACCACUGGUGUUCGGGUUGUCAUGCCAAUGGCAUUGCCCGGUAGCUAAGUGCGGAAGAGAUAACCGCUGAAAGCAUCUAAGCGGGAAACUUGCCUCGAGAUGAGUCUUCCCUGUCNNNNNNNNNNNNNNNNNNNNNNNNUUAAGACUAAGACGUUGAUAGGCUGGGUGUGUAAGCGUAGCGAUACGUUGAGCUAACCAGUACUAAUGAACCGUGAGGCUUAACCUG